GACGAACGCUGGCGGCGUGCUUAACACAUGCAAGUCGAACGGAAAGGCCCUGCUUUUGUGGGGUGCUCGAGUGGCGAACGGGUGAGUAACACGUGAGUAACCUGCCCUUGACUUUUGUAUAACUUCAGGAAACUGGGGCUAAUACCGGAUAGGAGCUCCUGCUGCAUGGUGGGGGUUGGAAAUUUUCGGCGGUUGGGGAUGGACUCGCGGCUUAUCCGCUUGUUGGUGGGGUAGUGGCUUACCAAGGCUUUGACGGGUAGCCGGCCUGAGAGGGUGACCGGCAACAUUGGGACUGAGAUACGGCACAGAAUCCAACGGGAGGCAGCAGUGGGGAAUAUUGCACAAUGGGAGGAAGCAUGAUGAAGAAACGCCGCGUGCGGGAUGACGGCCUUCGGGUUGUAAACCGCUUUCGCCUGUGACGAAGCGUGAGUGACGGUAAUGGGUAAAGAAGCACCGGCUAACUACGUG
rnacentral:rRNA from 1 species